UGAACGUAAUGUGUCGCUUAUUUUAAUUUAUGAAUGCCGUCAAAAUCCAAAACCAAAAUCCAAAAACGAAAGAAAACACAACAACAAAUAAACAACAAAGGGCAAUUAGUGAAGCUUCUAAAGUUAAAAGAAUUCUUUUAUACGUUUUACGACACAGGAAUUAAACUAAUGUCGACGUUUGGUAAUAAAACAACGCCAGUAUCAUGAAACUGACACCUUGUGCAACUGUUAUUGAGAAACUUACUUUUUCCACUAGUUUGAUGGAAUACAACUUCCACUACAAAUAUUUUGUGUUGCC